CGGGAGCCGAGCUGACCCGCGCUCCCGGCCCUGCCCAGCUCCCCGCUCCAGCCGAGGAGCCAAGAGCCGCCCAGGCCGGGCUGCUGGUGGGGCCCCCGCCAAGCGUGGGGUCCCCCGGUGCGGGAGGGCUCUCCGUGCUUCGCCACGACUGCCAGCUACGCCCGGCGGCUGAGAGCAAUCGGUCCCCGUGGAGCCGGGACCCAGGCGCUUCACCAGGCGUUGGCGUCGAUCCCGCACGCGCCGUCGCGUCCUGGUCCCGUCCUGGUGGUCUCACUAGGUCGGGGGUGGGGUGCUGCAAAGAUGACGCUUUCCUGGGAGCCGCUACUCUGCACCCAGAGCCAGCACGGCUCCUGCCCACCAGGGCCUUCCCUUCCUUUUGCUUCUCCGUGGGCUCAAAGAGCAACACUGCUUCUUGCCUGUGCUUGAAAGCAGAGUUUCUCUCCCAGCGAGACUUUAAGGAAGAGGAGUACCUGCCUUGCUGUGUUGCCUGGUUUCCGUGCUGCCCUGGUCUCGCUGGCAGCUUGUGUCCCUAACCCUGGAGCAGAGCACGCUGACAAGCACGUGCUUCGCCCGUACCGCGAUCACAACGACUUGCUCUCCAAGGAGCAAGAACAUCUUAAACCCUGUGAGCUUCUUGCCAGAGGGGACACCCGCGCUCAUCCCGCGGAGGGGAAGAAGAGAAGACACGGGUGUUAACAGGGACGGAUGGGCCGGUGCUGCCAGCCUGGCCCCGAGCUCUGCACGACCGCGGCCUGUGGUGACCGCUGGAGAGGCUUCUCGCGCCUUGCAAAGGCCUGCCGCUGGCAGCGGGGGAUGAAGGAUGUACAAGGCAAGGCCAGCCUCACAUCUGGGUCCAGCAAGGUAAAGCCCAUGAGCUGGCUCUGGGUCUACCACUGACCUGAAUUCUCAGGCCAAACCCCGACAAUCCCUGCUUUAGCUAAAAAUGGAAGUGGUGGCUUUGGGUGGCAGCCACUAAGGAGCAGGCAGAAAAUGAACGUGGGAACAGCAGAGGGAAGUGAUGUGAUGGUGAAGAUUAGCAUGAAAAAUGUCACCCUCGCUGUCAGCCACUGCCAAAUGUCUUCAAAGCAUUGUAGCAAAGAUGAGCUUUAAGGAGCGACGUGAAGGUGCGCAAAGAGGUGGCCUUGCAGGCAUUGAACUCCUGAUGUGCAGAUGCAGGAAAGAAGAGGAAAGCUUUGCUGGAACUUUUAUUUUUUUAAUGGGUAAUUUAAUCAGUGACACUAAGCCCUCCCAAUUAUUUCUUGCUAUGGAUACUGCCUAUUUAUUAAUUUCCUGAAUAUAAAUCCAUCAAGCUGUUGUCAUGCAGCAAGGAAGCAAACAAAAGCACCCCAGAGUUUUGUUUGGACCACAUAAAAGCACUCGAAGAGGUUAAUUAUUGCUGUUAAUUAUUCGCAUUGCAGACUUGGUUGCACACAGCGUUGUCUGGUGUCCUGGAUGCUGGGUGCAGAAGGAAAGCCAGCACAGAUGAUACUUCAGUAAUCAAGGCAGCACAGGAAGAGGGAAGGGAAGCCCUCCCAUCUUCGGGACGCUAUUGGAGGCCUUGACGUUGCCCCUUCAAGAAAAAUGGCCAAGUGCUAGUGUGUCCAGGCUGCGACGGCAAGAUGCUUUUUCAGAAGCCUCCAAAUGCAGCAGCUCAGCUAAGAACUUGUUUCGCUGCCUACCAGAGUGACUUACUUCAUCAGCCUUGACUUCCUGCGUAAUCGUCAGGGCUCUGCUGGCGCGGUGACCGCGGUCCGGCCUGCCCAGCCCGCGCCGGGAGCGGGAGCGGGAGCAGGAGCGGCCCCGGGUCUGCGGGAGGAAGCGGACAAAGGGGCAGAGGUCCAGCAAGAAGGAGGUUCAGAGGCCUGGAAAGCUUUUUUCCCCAAAGGAAACCGUGAAGGAAGUUAGAGCUAAUUUAGCAUAACAAAGGAAAGGUUAAGAGGUGAUUUGAUCAUCAUCUCUAAGUACUCACAUGGGAAUGAGAUUUCUGGGAGUAAAGGGCUGUUUGAUUUGGAGGACAAAGGCAUAUUAACAUACUGCCCGAAAGCUGAAGAUGGAAGGGAAAAAAGUGGCAACUCACUUUUUAAUGCUUAAGGUUAUCUGUGUAUGUACUUAGGGGUGGUAGAGUCUCCAUCCUCCAAUAUCUUUAAACCCAGACUGAAGAUCUUCCUAAAAGAUAUGCCUAGGGUCAGACAGAAGUUAUGGACUUGCAACUCGGUGGCCUGUAUCUUGCAGGAGUUCAUAUUAAAUGAUUUUAUUUGAUCCUUUGGCCUUAAGAUCUAUACAUCUACUUGCAAUAGCUAACAGCUGCCGCAAACCUGCUAAGUCCAUCUGGCAGUUUGUAGAUGACCACGACGUCAGGUAGACUUUGUGUCCGCCUCACCCCAAAACGCUGUCCUGAUCUGCAGCCUGGCCUGCUGUGUUGCCCUGCACCGCCGGGUGCCCUGGAGCACUGAUUUCUGUGGUGCAGCGGUUUUCCCACGCCGGUUUUCUGUUGAGGGACUCAUGAAGACUUGCUGCUGUACAGCUUGAUUGGAGCACAUUUAGGAGUCUGGGCUCUGCUGUUUGCUGAGGACUCUUACAGUAUGCAGCAUCAUCCAAAUAGGCUAAACUGCUUUGCUUGCUCUGACUUCUGGCUACUCCUAAAUGCGACAGUCACUGAAAUGGUAGGAGCCAAUACCUACUUUUCUAGAAAAUGUUACGGCUUGGGGGAGGAGUCCUCUCCUGCCUCCAGGAGAUGAUCAGGUCUUUGACAGUGAAACCCAAAACUGCCUGUCGUGGGCAUGAUCCCAAAGCUCUCUGCAGCCAAUUUCUCCUGCUGGAAGCCUGUUGAAUCUGUUGAAUUCACUGAAUCUCCUCUCCUCGGAGUCCUUGAGAUGCUGAGCCGAGGGCUGUAUUAACACCGGGCUCUGCAUUUGAUAUUCCUCCCCUGAAUUGCUACGCUCUGCCGCCCAACCGUGCAGUGGUUCCUCAGCUUAUGUAAAUGAGUUUAGCUCUAUCGCCUGCACGGCUCCUUCCCGAAGCCCAGCUCGAGCUCUCGGCGCAGCGGCAGGCGCCGCAGAAACCUUGCUUGCCCCCGUGAGCCCCCGUGCAGGAGAGCGCAGCGUAGCUAGCGAUGUCAGUUAAAGCCAAGUCAGCCGGGGCAGAGCCUCCGUGGGAGCAGUGCUCUCGUCGGCUGCAUCCUGGGGCCAAGCCCGGUGCCUCUCCCCUGCUCUGGGAGCAGGCAUGGGAAGCGUGGCUCUCCACCAGGCUCAUUUCCCCCCUCCUUGCUGGUGGCGCGGAGGAGUCGGCCCCGGGUGAACGUCGCCACGGACAGUACGCAAGAAGACGGCAUCCUGCAACUGGGCCUUGAGUUCAGCAGGCUUCCUCACGGAUGAGGAGACUUCCAGCAUGACUAAGGGAGUAGAGCGGAGGGAAGAACGAGUCUCCCCAAGCCACCGCCCCGUGCAGCUUGGCUCGCGGGACACCCGAGGCAGCCCACCCUCGCACGUGCCCGGGGGAUCGGGGCCAGGAUCCAGCUUCUGCAGCGUGACCGCGAUGAUCUCCCUCUCCGUGCCUGACCGUGCCGCUGCGGGUGGAGGUGCCGGGGUCCCCGCUGCAUGGUGAGGGGAGCCCCGCGGGGCACGGCAAGGCGACCUGACCGUGUGGGCUGGCUGCUGGUGCCGGAGCCGACGGCCGGGUGGCCCCUUGCCCGGGGCGGUCCCUUGCCCGAGCUCAUCGCUGUCCUGCAGAUCCAAGCAGUGCGUUGUGAUGGCUCGGACCAAGCUUGUGCCCUUGGUCCUUGACUGCUUAGAAAACCUCAGGAGACCAAAUGGUUUUGGUCUACUGCCUUGUUGCCAAACCAUUAACUUCCCAGUUUAAACGCUUAAUACAAUGGCCUUAUUUUUAAGACUGCCAGCUGAGCUGACUGUGCUUAGGACUGUCGUUUUCAGCUGUUCUCCAGCAAGAUGCUUUCUCAAAUGGUUUAAAAAAAAAAUUAAAGUUGUAUCCACA